AUACGGAGGAUGCAAGCGUUAUCCGGAUUUAUUGGGUUUAAAGGGUGCGCAGGCGGAAAAUUAAGUCAGUGGUGAAAUCCUACAGCUUAACUGUAGAACUGCCAUUGAUACUGAUUUUCUUGAGUGCAGUUGAGGUAGGCGGAAUGUGUAAUGUAGCGGUGAAAUGCUUAGAUAUUACACAGAACACCGAUUGCGUAGGCAGCUUACUAAACUGUUACUGACGCUCAGGCACGAAAGCGUGGGGAGCGAACAGGAUUAGAUACCCCGGUAGUCC
rnacentral:rRNA from 1 species